rnacentral:rRNA from 1 species
GAUGAACGCUGGCGGCGUGCCUAAUACAUGCAAGUCGAGCGAACAGACGAGGAGCUUGCUCCUCUGACGUUAGCGGCGGACGGGUGAGUAACACGUGGAUAACCUACCUAUAAGACUGGGAUAACUUCGGGAAACCGGAGCUAAUACCGGAUAAUAUAUUGAACCGCAUGGUUCAAUAAUGAAAGACGGUUUUGCUGUCACUUAUAGAUGGAUCCGCGCCGCAUUAGCUAGUUGAUAAGGUAACGGCUUACCAAGGCAACGAUGCGUAGCCGACCUGAGAGGGUGAUCGGCCACACUGGAACUGAGACACGGUCCAGACUCCUACGGGAGGCAGCAGUAGGGAAUCUUCCGCAAUGGGCGAAAGCCUGACGGAGCAACGCCGCGUGAGUGAUGAAGGUCUUCGGAUCGUAAAACUCUGUUAUUAGGGAAGAACAAAUGUGUAAGUAACUAUGCACGUCUUGACGGUACCUAAUCAGAAAGCCACGGCUAACUACGUG